rnacentral:rRNA from 1 species
UACAGAGGUGGCAAGCGUUGUUCGGAAUUACUGGGCGUAAAGGGCUCGUAGGCGGCCAACUAAGUCCGACGUGAAAUCCCCAAGCUUAACUUGGGAACUGCGUCGGAUACUGGAUGGCUUGAAUUCGGGAGAGGGAUGCAGAAUUCCAGGUGUAGCGGUGAAAUGCGUAGAUAUCUGGAGGAAUACCGGUGGCGAAGGCGGCAUCCUGGACCGACAUUGACGCUGAUGAGCGAAAGCUAGGGGAGCAAACGGG